AUUAAAGCUAAGAACGCCUGAUCGAGUCCAGCUCCCAAGCCUUCCGAUUGGGCAAGCACAUCGGAAAGCUUUGGGAAUCAGGAUACGCUUGGUCGGUGAACACUACCCACUCUACUGAGGAAAAAUACCUAACCUAGCCUGCUACUAACUGGGACAGGGAUUCCUGUUCUAGCCUUGUUCCCGAGGCCUUCCGAAUGUGCAAAACACAUCGGAAGGCUUCUGGAACCAGGGUGCGCUUGACCAAUAAACACUAUUCACUGGGCUGGGUACACCCAUAUCGGUGAACACUAGUUACUGGGCAAGGGAUCCCGAUCUAGCUUAGUUACUGAGGCCUUCCGAAUGAGCAAGCUCAUCCAUCGGAAGGCCUCGAAGCCAAAGUACGCUUGAUAGGUGAAUACUACUCACUGAGUUACAGACACCACUUCAGUGAUCACUAAUCAUGCAUUUGGCCAUACUCAAUUGAUCGGUGAUACACUACUUAUUAAUUGAACACAUCACAAGAAAAAUUAACUCGAGCUGAUGUACCGGUAUAUUAUUCACCUUAGUGAUAUUCUUAGUGAACAAUACUCACAUGAUCUCAUGUGCACCUGUACUUUUGAUAUAAAAAAAACCCCCACAAAUCAAUGCAAUAUAUUGUACCUUCAUCACCUGUGUACUCAUUUCUAAGAGUUUGGUCCUCUCUAGUACAUGUUAUAAGUACAUGAUGAUCGGAACUGAGACAAAAUUAAUAGUUCCUACAUAGCAAAAACUGGUCAGAAUGCAAUUGCAUUUAGUUUGACCAGAACAAUAUCUUUAUCUUGCUGUCAAGCUUGGAUUUUGCUACAUAGUUGAAUUAGUUGCAACUACUCAUAUUAAAGCUAUGGACUUGUCAGAUAAGCGGUCUAAAUAAAAAGCUUUUGGAACACCUUAAGGCAAAAUAAUUUCUUUGUUUCAGAUUCAGAUUCAGUUAUUUCAAUCUCAAAACCACUUUACAAUGGUAUAAAGAGACUAUAAAAUACAUAAACAUUUAAGAUUUUCUUAUUAGAUAAUAACGGCAUACGUGAAAAUACAAGUAUAAAGAAAGGUAACCUCAUGUUUUAAUAAAUGUGAAGUAUAGAAACUACUGGGGGAGCAUAUUUUGUUUAUUUCCCAAUAAAUGAACAUAAUUUU
rnacentral:sRNA from 1 species